UUUAUGGAGAGUUUGAUCCUGGCUCAGGAUGAACGCUGGCGGCGUGCCUAAUACAUGCAAGUCGAGCGAACGGACGAGAAGCUUGCUUCUCUGAUGUUAGCGGCGGACGGGUGAGUAACACGUGGAUAACCUACCUAUAAGACUGGGAUAACUUCGGGAAACCGGAGCUAAUACCGGAUAAUAUUUUGAACCGCAUGGUUCAAAAGUGAAAGACGGUCUUGCUGUCACUUAUAGAUGGAUCCGCGCUGCAUUAGCUAGUUGGUAAGGUAACGGCUUACCAAGGCAACGAUGCAUAGCCGACCUGAGAGGGUGAUCGGCCACACUGGAACUGAGACACGGUCCAGACUCCUACGGGAGGCAGCAGUAGGGAAUCUUCCGCAAUGGGCGAAAGCCUGACGGAGCAACGCCGCGUGAGUGAUGAAGGUCUUCGGAUCGUAAAACUCUGUUAUUAGGGAAGAACAUAUGUGUAAGUAACUGUGCACAUCUUGACGGUACCUAAUCAGAAAGCCACGGCUAACUACGUGCCAGCAGCCGCGGUAAUACGUAGGUGGCAAGCGUUAUCCGGAAUUAUUGGGCGUAAAGCGCGCGUAGGCGGUUUUUUAAGUCUGAUGUGAAAGCCCACGGCUCAACCGUGGAGGGUCAUUGGAAACUGGAAAACUUGAGUGCAGAAGAGGAAAGUGGAAUUCCAUGUGUAGCGGUGAAAUGCGCAGAGAUAUGGAGGAACACCAGUGGCGAAGGCGACUUUCUGGUCUGUAACUGACGCUGAUGUGCGAAAGCGUGGGGAUCAAACAGGAUUAGAUACCCUGGUAGUCCACGCCGUAAACGAUGAGUGCUAAGUGUUAGGGGGUUUCCGCCCCUUAGUGCUGCAGCUAACGCAUUAAGCACUCCGCCUGGGGAGUACGACCGCAAGGUUGAAACUCAAAGGAAUUGACGGGGACCCGCACAAGCGGUGGAGCAUGUGGUUUAAUUCGAAGCAACGCGAAGAACCUUACCAAAUCUUGACAUCCUUUGACAACUCUAGAGAUAGAGCCUUCCCCUUCGGGGGACAAAGUGACAGGUGGUGCAUGGUUGUCGUCAGCUCGUGUCGUGAGAUGUUGGGUUAAGUCCCGCAACGAGCGCAACCCUUAAGCUUAGUUGCCAUCAUUAAGUUGGGCACUCUAAGUUGACUGCCGGUGACAAACCGGAGGAAGGUGGGGAUGACGUCAAAUCAUCAUGCCCCUUAUGAUUUGGGCUACACACGUGCUACAAUGGACAAUACAAAGGGCAGCGAAACCGCGAGGUCAAGCAAAUCCCAUAAAGUUGUUCUCAGUUCGGAUUGUAGUCUGCAACUCGACUACAUGAAGCUGGAAUCGCUAGUAAUCGUAGAUCAGCAUGCUACGGUGAAUACGUUCCCGGGUCUUGUACACACCGCCCGUCACACCACGAGAGUUUGUAACACCCGAAGCCGGUGGAGUAACCUUUUAGGAGCUAGCCGUCGAAGGUGGGACAAACGAUUGGGGUGAAGUCGUAACAAGGUAGCCGUAUCGGAAGGUGCGGCUGGAUCACCUCCUUUCU
rnacentral:rRNA from 1 species